rnacentral:rRNA from 1 species
CACGAAGCCCUUCGGGGUCUAGUGAGUGGCGAACGGGCGAGUAAGGCAUGAAUACCUGCCCCGAUGACUGGGAUAACUACUCGAAAGGGUAGCUAAUACUGGAUGUGAUCUUCGGAUUAAAGCUGGCCUCUGUAUAUGCUGGCGCAUCGGGAGGGGUUCAUGUGCUAUUAGCUUGUUGGUGAGGUAACGGCUCACCAAGGCAAUGAUGGCUAGCCGGCCUGAGAGGGUGUCCGGCCACACUGGGACUGAGACACUGCCCAGACUCCUACGGGAGGCUGCAGUCGAGAAUCUUCCACCAAUGCGCGAAAGCGUGAUGGAGCGACGCCGCGUGAACGAUGAAGGCCUUAGGGUUGUAAAGUUCUGUUGGAUGGGCGUAAUCCCCUAGGGUUAAUACCUCUUAGGGUUGAACUCCCAUCGGAGGAAGCACCGGCUAAAUUCGUGCCAGCAGCCGCGGUAAUACGAAUGGUGCAAGCGUUGUUCGGAAUCACUGGGCAUAAAGAGCACGUAGGCGGUUUGGUAAGUCAGCUGUGAAAUCCCACGGCUUUAACCGUGGAACUGCAGCUGAUACUGCCGAACUAGAGUGCGCGAGGGGAGAGCGGAAUUUCCUGGUGGAGCGGUGAUAUGCGUAGAUAUCAGGAGGGAACGCCCGGGAGGCG